rnacentral:rRNA from 1 species
GAUGAACGCUAGCUACAGGCUUAACACAUGCAAGUCGAGGGACCGGCGCACGGGUGAGUCACACGUACCCACCCUGCCCUUUACUCGGGGAUAGCCUUUCGAAAGAAAGUUUAAUACCCGAUAUUAAGGAUGGGGAUGCGUUGCAUUAGGUUGUUGGUGAGGUAACGGCCCACAAAGCCUUCGAUGGAUAGGGGUUCUGAGAGGAAGUUCCCCCACACUGGAACAGAGACACGGUCCAAACGCGUAGGGGAGUCAGCAGUGAGUAAUAAUGGUCAAUGGGCGGUAGCCUGAACCAGCCAAGUAGCGUGAAGGAUGAAGGCUUAUGGGUCGUAAACUUCUUUUAUAUAAGAAUAUGUAUUAUAUGAAUAAGGAUCGGCUAACUCCGUGCCAGCCGCCGCGGUAAUAC